rnacentral:rRNA from 1 species
CGGUUCUCCUUCGGGAGCAGAGUGACAGGUGGUGCAUGGUUGUCGUCAGCUCGUGUCGUGAGAUGUUGGGUUAAGUCCCGCAACGAGCGCAACCCUUGAUCUAGUUGCCAUCAUUAAGUUGGGCACUCUAAGGUGACUGCCGGUGACAAACCGGAGGAAGUGGGGAUGACGUCAAAUCAUCAUGCCCCUUAUGACCUGGGCUACACACGUGCUACAAUGGACGGUACAAAGAGCUGCAAGACCGCGAGGUGGAGCUAAUCUCAUAAAACCGUUCUCAGUUCGGAUUGUAGGCUGCAACUCGCCUACAUGAAGCUGGAAUCGCUAGUAAUCGCGGAUCAGCAUGCCGCGGUGAAUACGUUCCCGGGCCUUGUACACACCGCCCGUCACACCACGAGAGUUUGUAACACCCGAAGUCGGUGGGGUAACCUUUUGGAGCCAGCCGCCUAAGGUGGGACAGAUGAUUGGGGUGAAGUCGUAACAAGGUAGCCGUAUCGGAAGGUGCGGCUGGAUCACCUCCCGUCGACGCGGCCG